CACAAGUAGAAACACAAUUAUGUGUUGAGGAUUCAUACAAAGGCAAUCAAUGUGAGUUUAACCAUGAAAAUGACAAUCAGGCAAAUCCAAACUGUGGAUCAUUCUGCAUGGAAUCAACCCAGACUCUUUCAAUAUAUUAAUGUAAUGGAAAUCAGAAAAAAAAGGUGAGACAAUUUCUCUUGAUGUGUGUGUGUGUAUGUGUGUGUGUGUGUGUGUGUGUAUAUAUAUAUAUAUAUAUAUAUAUAUAUAUAUAUAUAUAUAUAUAUGACCUAUAGGUAUAAAAACAAAAUGCAAUGAAUGAGCACUGAUUUGAUUCUCUGUUUUUAAAAAUAUUAUAAAAAUGUUAUAAAAAUGCUUCUAAGACAUCUGGGGACUUCUGAAUACAGACUGUGUAUUACAUAAUAUUCUUAUGUCAAUAGUAAAUUUCCUUAUCUUCUGUCUAACUUAUCUCACUUAGCAUAGUGUUUUUAAGAUUCAUCUAUAUUGUAGCAUAGGUUAAUACUUCCUUUUGUUGUCUAAUUAUAUAUGUAUUUUUCAAAUUAUAUUCUUAUAUACACAUGCAGAAGAACAUUCAGUGUUCUUAUUUUUAUUUUAAGGGAGCAUAGGAAACAGGAAAUCACUCAAGAGAUUUAAAAAAAUAAAAUUCCUAGCUUCCAAAGGCACAUAUGUUUGGCAAAUGAUAAAAUACCAAGUCCAUUAAAAUAGACUCUAAAGAGCUUCAGAUGAUUGACAAUGUACUUCAGGAAUGGAAAACUUGUUUCAGUCCAGUAAUAGAUAUGUUCUCUGCUACUAGAAUUGUAACAAUUCGAUGUGUCUGUAACCAUUUUGCAGGCUAGAGAGCUAGGAAAUCAUGAAGAGCCUCCUAUGCAAAGGGGAAAUUUAUGAAUGGUCCCGUCUAUUCUCUAAAGCAAGCCUGUAUGACAUAUGAAAUAAUAUUUUAUGAUGCCACAAAGCAGUGCUUUUGAAUCUGAGGCCACAUAGAUUUUAGAAAGCACCAGUGAGCAUUCUUUAUACCGAAUGGCUUGCCUGCCUGGUAAAAGACUGUGAUCUCAAAUAAACCUUAGUGUUUCCUUAAAUGCAAUUUCCUAGAAUGAGAUUACACUCCUUAUAUUGCUUCUGAUUUCUUUGGGGAAAUAAGCAAGCCAGGGGAAAAGAUAUCUUACCACAUUCUCUUAGACCACAGGAAAGUAAAUGAGAAUUUUUUUUUUUUUUUUUUUUUCUGAGCAGAGAUUUUUUUUGGCUGGCAUGCAUAUGAAUGUACUGGUUAAAAAAUACUGAAAAUAAAAUAAGUUUCUUUUUGUAAAAUGUUUAUUUAUAAAAAUAAAAAUAAGUUUGUUUUAUGUUUGGUAAUGUUGUUCAGUAUAUUUUGUAUUUUACUUGUGAUAAUUGGGCUCUUAUAAAGAUGCACUUCUCCAGGUUAUUAAUUCUCUGUGUUUAUGAUUUGCCAAUUUGGAGCGAAACUGUAAAGACAUAACACCCUAAUUUAAAAAAAAAAUCAGGUAUUAAUUUUGUUUAGUUUUUCUUAAUGACUUGAAAUUGCACAGAUUUAUAAAUAAAGCAUCACAUAUAAUCUGUUCCUUAUGUUGUAUACUUAGUUUUCAGAGGAAAUAAGCUAGUGAUGGAUGUAAAAAUAAUUAAAAUGUUUUAUAUAUCUGUCCUACACAAAAUAUGUUUAAAUAUUUGUGAGUAUUUUAUUUUACGGUUAUUAUUAUUAUGAAGAUUAAACUUAGUGGCACUUUACCUCUGAGUUACAUCUCCAGUCCUUUUAAAAACUUUUUGAUGUUUAUUUUAAGACAGGGUUUCACUAAGUGGCUGAGACUGAUCUUGAACUUGAAAUCCUCCUGCCUCUGUUCUCUGCAUUGCUGGGAUUACAGUUGUAUGCCACCAUUCCUGGCUAUGAGUAUUUUCUUUUAAAGCAUGAUGAUAAGAAGCUUGGGAUAACUUGAUAACAUGUGCAAGAGAUUUCUCCAUAUGUGAACAUGACACAGACUGUCACCGUCAGAAAAACACCAGGAAGGAGAAAGGAAGGGUGAGAAGUCUGGGCACCACAGUAAAAGCUCUCUUUACUAAAAAUCAGAGAAGCACAGUGUCAACUAGAGCAUUAGGAGUUCAUUAUCUGUUUAUAUCUUGGCUCACAGGAGUGGGAAGUCCAGCGUGGUCCUGAGGGGAGCUGGACUGGGUCUGGGGGCAGUGUGUGUCUAUCCUGUCCUCUCCUCCAGUCUGGGGGCUCUUUUGCUCUGUUCUUGCGUUAGGCUUGUAUGGCUUCCUUUACUUGAUGGGAAGGACAGGGAGGGUUGUAGUGAGUGUGCAUCAUAUACCAAUAUCCUUCAAAGUUGCAACCCCAAAGAACAGCAUUCAUUCCUGGCACUUUUUUUUUUUUUUUUUUUUUUUUAGAGAGAGUGAGAGAGAUAGAGGUAGAGAGAGAGAGAAUUUUUUUUUUAAUAUUUAUUUUUUUUAGUAUUUGGCGGACACAACAUCUUUGUUUGUAUGUGGUGCUGAGGAUCCAACCCGGGCCGCACGCAUGCCAGGUGAGCGCGCUACCGCUUGAGCCACAUCCCCAGCCCCCAUUCCUGGCACUUUUAACCUCAAAGGUCGAAGCCAAUUAUUACUAGUCCUGUGUGGGUCAUUUGUCCCUCCCUAAACUCCACCAAGAGAAUGGGUACAGAUGGCAGCCAGAUGCAGAGCCCCCGUCCACCUGUGUUUUCUGAGUGGGUGGAUGUGGGGUAUUGAAGCAGGCCCUUUCCAAAUAGUAGUAGGCUGCUCACAGGCAAAAGAGUUUAUCUCUAAAAGAUGGAAAUGAGGGAGAUUGGGGACCAACACCACAGACACCCACCAGAACUGCCUUUCUGCAAGUUUGUUCCAAUCUAUAUGGAGGAUGGGAGUUUCAUUCAUCCAUUAGAGUUUCACAGAGUAAUAUAUAUAUGUUUUAUACUAAGGAUGAUCCUUACUGGUGCUCCAUAUUUCAAAACUCACGCCAAUCAAUCCUUUUGUACUGACAGGUGCAAGAAGUCGUCUGGCAGGUGUGAUGUGUUGAGCCUCAGGUGUGAGCAGGAAGGAUUUGUGAGUUUGCUUUAUAGGGGAAGAAGCAACAUCAUGUUGCUUGAAAUCAUUGGUAGGAGGUGUUUCAUAUUUUUAAGAGAGGAAAUGUAUUGAUCAAAUAUUCACGGUGAUACAUCACAAUGGUUGAGGUUGGAAGCAUUUCUCUGGUUCUUAUUCUCUGGGUGCUUUUAAGCCAAGAAUUCUCCUUCCAAUCACCUUUGACUCUUUCUAGGUCAGGCCUUCCACUGUUUCCUUGCCCACUCCCCAGCAGGAUUGGGGAACCAUAAUUAUAAUCCAAGAGAUUAAUGAAAAUACCUCCUAAGCAUCUGUCUGGCAUAUUAUUGCUUCUUUUUAGGGAACUGCCUAAUAUUCCCAAUAGCCAUGAUUGUCUGGAGCUCUGCUCACAAUGGUCAAAGACUAGGAAAGAUCCACUUAUAUCUUAUUCCUAAAUUUGAAAUAUGAAGAAUUGGGGAGUCCUGCUCUUCACUGAGUUCCCAGUGGUGUGAAGUGUCUAUUUCCUUACUUCUGGUUCUGUUCCAUUUGGACAUGGCGAUAAAUAAACAUUUUGUAAUUUCAAAAAUCCAUAUUCCCACUAAAUUUAUAGACAAAUACAUUUAAAUAUGAGAUAUAUGAGACUCAAAAAUAAUUUCCUAUGUUGGUGCUGGGUGGAAUUGAAUACUGGAAUUGAGAGUGAUUUCACUUUUAUAAGAAUCAUUUCAUAGAUGUUUUUAAGUGAAAAAAAUCAACAUUACCUAAUUUUACUGUUAAAAUAUUAUAGUCAUUGAUUUUGAACUGGUAAUUAUCUUGUAGUUUUUUUAUUUGUCUCAGACAUUUCAAAAGAAAAAUAACAUUUUUGAGAAAAAUACUUGAAAAAUAAAUUCUUGUCUUUUCAUAUAUUUACUAGGACAUAACAUUUUGAUGAGAAAUUAAUUGUUUCUAUACUUUGAAUAUAAAUGCUUUCUCUGUAUUUUUAUGGGUGAAGUAUAAUUAUACAUAAUGGUGGGAUUUGUUGACAUAUAUUUGUCUGUGCACCUGAAAUGCCAAUAAAAUUUGGCCAGUACCAUUCCCCAAUUCCUCCCCUUUCCUCCCACUCCUUCCUCCCUCAUCUCUUUCCUAUACUCUAAAGUUCUCUCUGCAAAUUUUGUGUGAUCUCCCCCUGCCAUGUCUUUCUUCUCUUUUUCCUCUCUAGUUUCCACAUAUGAGAUAAAACAUAACCCUUCAUUUUGGCUUAUUUCUCUUAACAUAAUGCUCCCAAGGCCCACCCAUUUUAUUGCAAAUAACAUAAUUUGAUUUUUAUUUAUGAUGGAAUAAAACUUCCAUGUGCAUUUACACCACAUUUUCUUUAUCAAUUCAUUUAUUGAUGGACACCUAGUCUGGUCCAUAGUUUGGCUGUUUUGAAUUGUGCUGAUCUAAACAUGGGUAUGCAUAUAUCACUAUAGUAUACUGACUUUAAUUCUUUAGGAUAAAUACCAAGGAUGGUGUAGCUGGGUCAUGUGGUAGUUCCAUUCCUAGAUUUUUGGAACCUCCACACUUAUUUAUAUAGUGGUUGAACUAAUUUACAAUCCUGCCAACAGUGUAAAAGUGUUCCUUUUUCUACACAUUCUCUUCAGCAUUUAUUAUUGUUUGUAAGCUUAAUAGCUAUAUUCUAACUGGAGUGAGAUUAAAUCUCAGUGUAGUUUUAAUUUGCAUUUCUCUAAUUGCUAAUGAUGUUGAACAUUUUUUUUUUGUAUAUUAGUUGACCAUUUGUAUUUCUUCUAUUAAGAAUAGAAGUAUCUGUUUAGUUCAUUUGCCCAAUUAACAAAUGGGCAAAAUUAACAAAAUUUAACAAAUGGGCAAAUGAACUAAACAGAUACUUCUUAAUUCUUAAUUAUUAUUAUAAUACCUAUUAAUAUUAAUUGACUAUUAUUUGGUGUUAGGAUUUUUGAGUUUUUAUAUAUUCUGGAUAUUAAUCCUCUGUCAGAAGAGUAGCUAGCAAAGAUUUUCUCCCAUUAUUUGUGUGUGUUGUAUUCUGUUCUGUUGGUCUAUGUGUCUAUUUUUAUGCCUGUACCAUACAGUUUUUUUUUUUACUAUAUCUCUGUGUAUAAUUUGAAAUAUGGUAUUUUGGUGCCACUAGCAUUACUUUUUAAAUUUUUUUUUAUUUUUGUUUUAUUUUAGAAUUGCUUUGGCUUUUCUGACUCUUUUAUUUUGAAAUAAAUUUCAGGACCCUUUUUUUUUCUAGUUUUGUGAAGAAUGUCAUUGGUAUUUUGACGGGGAUUGCACUGAAUUUUUAUAUUGCUUUUGGUAGUAUGGCCUUUUAACAAUUUAAUUUUGCCUAUCCAUGAACAUGAGAGGUCUUCUCAUCUUCUUGUUUCUUCUUCAGUUUCUUCCUUCAGUGUUCUAUAAUUCUAUAGAGGUCUUUCACCUCCUGGGUUAGAUUAAUUCCUAGGUAUUUUCUUUUUCAGACUAUUGUUAAUGGGAUUAUUUUCCUGAUUUCUUUCUCAGUAGAUUUAUUAUUGGUAUAUAAGGAAAGCUAUUGCUUUUUGAAUGUUGUGUUGAAACCUGAUACUUUGAUGAAUUUGUACAUUAGUUCUAGCAGUCUUCUGGUGGAACUUUUUGAAUGUUCCAAGAAUAGGCUCAUAUCAUCUGCAAACAGUUAUAAUUUGUCUUCUUCUUUUCCUGUUUUUAUCCCUUUUAUUUUCUACUCUUGCCUAAUUAUUCUGGCUAUAAUUUCUAGUACUAUAUUGAAUAGGGGUGGUAAGAACAGACAUCCUUGUCUUUUUCUAGAUUUCAAGGAAAUACUCUCAGUUUUUCCCUAUUCACUAUGAUGUUCGCUUUGAAUUUGUCAUAUACAGCCUUUGUAAUAUUGAAAUAAUUUCUUUGUAUCACUAGUUUCUUCAUUGUUUUUAUGACAAAUGAGUGCUGAAUUUUGUCGAAGGCUCUCUCUGUUUCUAUUGAGAAGAUUAUAUGAUUUUUUCCUUAAUUCUGUUUAACUGGUGAAUUAUACUUAUUGAUUUGCAUUGUUAAACUAUCCUUGCAACUAUGGAAUAAAUCAACUUGGUUGUGAUGUGCAAGCUUCUUAACAUGUUGUUGAAUAUGCUUUGCUAGAUUUUAUUAAAAUUUUUUUGCAUCUAAGUUCAUCAGGGAUAUUUGUCUGUAGUUUUCUUUUCUUGAUGUGUCCUAUCUGGUUUGAGUGAGUGUGAUACAGGUUUCAUGGAGUGAAUUUGAAAGUGUUCCAUCACUAUCUAUUUCAUGGAAUAAUUUGAUGAACAUUGGAAUUAGUUCUUCUUUGAAGUUCUAGUAGAAUUCAUCUGAUCCUGAGCUUUUCUUUGUUAUAAGGCUGUGUAUUACUGUUUCUAUCUCACUGCUGGUUUUUGGCCUGUUUGGGUUGUCCAGGUCCUCUUGAUUCAAUUCUCAUAUGUGUGGAGAAAUGUAUAAAUUUCCUCUAGUUCAAGUGUUCAAAGUAUAAGUUUUCAAAAUAGUCCCUAAUGAUCCUGGACUUCUGUGUUGUCUGUGGUAAUUUCUCCUUUUUCAUCUCUAAUUUUAUUAUCUUGGGUCUUCUCUCUUUUUAUUUUGGUUAGUUUGGCUACUGGUUAAUUAAUAUUGUUUAUUUUUUCAAAGAACCAACUCUUUAUUUCUCUGAUUCUUCCUAUUUUUUUAAAUCUCUAUUUCAGUGAUUUUAUCCCUGAUCUUAAUUAAUUCCCUCCUUCUAUUGUUUUUUUGGAAUUGGUUUGUUCUUGUUCUCCAAGGGCCUUUAAACACAUUAUUAGGUUGUUUAUCUGGAAUGAUUCCUGAUUUCUUAUGUAGGCACUCAUAGCUAUAACUUUCCUCCUAGUAUCACCUUUAUAAUGUCCCAGAGGUUCUGGUGUAGUAUUUCACUAUUCUCAUUUUAUUCUAAAAAAUUUUAAAUUUCUCCACCUUUUCUUUUACCACUAAUAAUCCUUAAAAAGUAAAUUCUUUAAUCUCCACAUGUUUAUAUAGUUUCUGUAGGGUUUUAAAUGUUGAUUUCUAAUUUAAUUCCAUUAUCUUGAUUAGAUGCAAGGAAUUGUAUCUUUUUUUUUUAUAUUUGCUAAGAGAUGCUUUGUAGCCUAAAAUACAGUCUAUUUUGGAAAAAAUUCCAUAAACCACUGAGAAGAAAGUGAAUUUAGCUGUUAUUGAAUUAAGUAUUCUAUAGAUGUCUCUUAAGUCCAUUUGAUAUAUUAUAUUUCAUAUGUCUGAAGAGUUUUUACUGAGUUUAUAUCUGAAUGAUCUGAUGGUGAGACAGAUGUGUUAAAAACACCCAGUAUUAUUAUACUGGAGUCUAUCUGAGUCUUUAAGUUGAGUAAUUUUUUUUAAUGCAAUUAGGUGCACCAACAUUUGGGGCAUAAACAUUUACUUUUAUUCUUUUUGUUAGAUUGUUCCCCUUUCCAGUAUGAAGUAACUAUCUUUGUAUCUUCUGAUUAAUUUUGGGUUGAAGUCUGCUUUGUCAGAUAUGAAAGUAGCUACUCCUGCUUAUUUUGGAACUCCAUUUGCAUAUAUAACUCUAUUUCCAUCCUUUCACUUUGAGCUUCUGUGUUUUUGCAUGUAAGGUGAGUCUCUUGCAAACAGCAUAUAGUUGGGUCUUUUUUUUUUUUUAAAAAAUCCAUCCUGCUGGCUCAUUUUUUCUUUUCCUUUCUUUUUCUUUCUUUCUUUCUUUUUUUUUUGUGUGUGUGUGGUGCUGGGGAUUGAACCCAGGGCCUUGUGCAUGUGGGGCAAGCACUCUACCAACUGAGCUAUAUCCCAAGCCUAUGUAUUUUAAUUGGAGAAUUGAGACUAUUUAUAUCCAAUAUUGUUAUAGAGAGAUGUUUAUUAAUUUCUGCCAUUUUGAUUAAUUUGUAAUGUUUAAUUUGGUCCUUUGUCUCAUUUGGUUAGCUACUCUUCAAAUGACAUUUGCCCACUUUUGAGCCCUGAAUUUGUUUUGAUUUCUUCUGUGUGUAGUAUUUCUUUAAGUAUUUUCUGUAGUGCCAACUUAAUAGUCAUGAAUUCUUUUGGUUUCUGCUUAUCUUGGAAGGUCUUUAUACUUCUUCAAUUCUGAGUAAUAAUUUUUCUAGACAUAGCAAUCUUGGAUGACAGUUAUUCUUUCAGGUUUAGAAUACAUUAUUCAAAGUCCUCUUGAAUUUUAGAGUUUGUGCUAAAAAAUCAGAAGUAAUCAUGAUUGGCAUGACUCUAUAUGUGAUCUAACAUUUUUUUUCCUCUUAAGACUAUUGAAAGUUUGUCCUGUUCUUUAUGUUAGGUCAUUUUAUUUUAUUUUUACUAGGGACUGAAACCAGGGGUGCUUUACCAUUGAGUUACAUUCCCAGCCCCUUUCUUUUAAAAUAAAAUUUUAACUUUAGAUAGGCUCUUGCUAAGAUACAUAUGGCCUUGUUAAGUUGCUGAGGCUGGCUUUAAACUAGUGACCCUCCUGCCUCAGACUCCUGAGUCACUGGAACUACAAGUACAUGCCACCUGUCAAGCUAUUUGUUAGGCGUUUUAAGUGUAAUGUGUUAGGAGAGGUUCUUUUUGAUCUUCACUAUUUGGGGUUCUGAAUCCUCCCUGUAUUUGGCUGCAUAUCUUACUUAAAGGUUUGGAACAUCUUCUUUUAUUAUUUCCUUGAAGCAGUCAUCCAUUCCCCUAGUCUGCUUCUCAUAACCCUCUUUGACUCCAGUGAUUCUUAAAUUUGGUCUCUUAAUGUUGUCACAAAGGUCUUGCAUAUUCUGAUCAGGGCACCUUUUUUUUUUUCUUCUUUUCUUUAGUACUGUCUGAAUGUCCAAGACUGGGCUCUUUAUCUUCCAGCUCUGAGAUUCUGUCUUCAGAAUGAUCUACUCUGAGUCUUUAACCUGAACAUUUAAUUUGAUUUAUUGGGUUUUUCAUUUUCCUGUUUGGUUCUUUUUCAAUAACUCUCUUUAUUGAACUUAUCAUUCAUAUACUGUCCUGAUUUCCUCAGUUCAUACAGUUUUUCUGCAUCUUUUUAAACUCAUUGAUCAGUUUUAUAAUCACUCUUUUGAAUUCAUUAUCUGGUAUUUAAUUCAUUUCAAUAUUUUUGGUAUCCCUUGAUGGUGAAUUAUGAACUUGAAUUGCUAUCUACUUUUUCAUAUUUCUUAUAUUUUGGGGUUGGGUUUUAUGCAUCUAUUUGGAUAAUUUUUUUCCCACUCUCGUGUGUGGGUCUUCUCUUGUGAAAUUGUUCUGGGAUAUCAGAUUAUUGUAAAUUUGUUAAUAUAUUUUCAAAUGGGUUUUGUAUUAUAAUUUCCCUGCUAGUCCUUUGGUGAUGAUCAGUAUAAUUUGAUAUAGUAUAUAUAUAUAUUGUGUCAGAGGUUGAGGAUUUUACUUUCCCUAUAGGUCUCAAGAAUGGGAUUCUUCUUGUAGAUUUGACAGUUGUAUUGUAUACAGCAGGAUAUGUGGGGUACACCCUCUGUGAUUACUCUUCUUCACUUAACAACUCUUUAUAUUAUAAAGGGGCAUGGAAGUGAUCUAGAUUGAGACCCCUCAAAAGUCCAUAGUCUUUGUGUCAAUUCUCUCUGCUUUUGCUGUAGGAGUGGAGGUCCAUGUGUGUACCUGAGGGCACACUCUAACUGUUCUUACUUGGAACAGCCAUUCAGGGUGGACAUAUUUCUGCAAAUGUGCUUCUGGAAGCCAGUCAUAGGGUCUGUACUUGAGUGGCAGUUUCUCCCAAUGAUAUUAAUUCAUUGAGCUUCUGAAAGUCUCCAAUCCUGGAAUUCCAUGGUGCCCCAAAUUGCUAUAUAAAUCAAUAAACUUACUCUCUUUAGAGACUCUGACCUGCCAGAAUGACUGUGAUAGGCAAUAAAUGCAUCUCUGCGCCUUUAUUUCAGGUGUUGUGUGGUAGCCUCAUCACCUGUGACCAGGGGAGGGCUGUCCCUGCCUCCACUUAUUUCAACGUCUGCUGCUUGCUUCCCCAGGAAACACGAGCUCCAGAUCAUGUGGCUGCUCAGGACAAACUCUAGGACUGAAACAAGAAGGCACUUAAUGUUUGCUGAUGUGAGGCUGAUGUGUUAUGGAUGUAACCAUGAGCAAUGGAGACCCAGCCCUCCUCCUCAGAAGGCCUAUGUCUGACCUAAGUGGACAGAUGACCUUCAGAGUGUGGCCAUGCUAUCUGAGUGCUCAGCAGGGACCCUGAAAAAAACCACAUGGAUCCUGGUGGGAGGCUCUCCACAGGAAAUGGUGUUAAGGUUGGAACCUGAAAGUUAUGCAGAAUGCUGCCAGGCAAAGGGGACCUGGGAUCCCAAGAGAAUGGUCUGGAUGGAGGGUGACAUAGGAUGAUUUUAUGACAUCCCAGUGAAUGUCACCUCUUAAGUCAUGCCUUUGUGUGGGCCCCUCCCUCACAGAACAAGAGCUGGUCUGUAUGGCCAACAGAAUGGCAGAAAUCAUGCUGAAUCAGCUCUGGGAGGAGAGGGUGAGAAGAGUGGCACCCACAGGCUAUGCGAGAGUGCUCGCUCUUCUUCCUUUCCUCCUCUCUCUGCGAUUCUCUGUCUCCCUCUCUGUGUCUUGUGGACACAGAUGUCCACCUCUGUCUCAGUCUCUUUCUCUCUCUUCCUCACUUUUUCAUCUCUCAUUCUGUUGCAAUGUCUGUCUCACUGCCUCUCUCUCUCUCUCUGCCUCCCUCCCUGUUCCUCCUCACCUCUUCUCCUCCUCACCAUUUGCUCUGGGGAGAGCUCUCUGCUCUGCUCAGCAUCUUAUGGAGAAGCUGGAGUGGAUCCCCCUGCUUCUCCUCUUUCACUCUCUAGGGCUUGAUUCUUGCCUCUUUCUCCCAGGGCCAUAAGUUUAUGACUUGAUCUACAGCGGAUUGCAGUUCCCAAGGGAUACCCUAAGGCACUGGCUGUGCAAGCUGGAACUGGAGGGAACACCGUGGGAUAGAAGUCUGGACUUAGGAGUCCUUAGCCUAUGGACCAUGCUGGUGUGUACAGAAGGAUGAGGCAGAACAAGACACACGUUUCCCUGAGCAGUGCCCUCUGCCCUGCAUGGCCUGAACUUGGGCAUAGGAGUCUGGUGAGGGUUUUGACUGAAUUCCUUCCUCAGGAGGGCUGUCAGGCUGGAAGCUUGGUGUCAAAUAAGCAGGAAAAUCUCCAUAAAAAUAAAAUGCUAAUGAUCUGCCACAAAGUACUAAGGGGAAGGUGAGGGAAUAGCAGUGUAUUCUAGGAUGACUGCAGGGGAGGGAAAAUAACAUCUCCAGAAGAAUUUCCUUUCUUCUCCCACUGAUGAGCCUGUUGCCAGAUGAGAAGGGAGCAGGUGGGGUGAAGCUCACAUCAAAGUGCCACAGAGAAGGCUCAGGAGGGACAUGAAUAGAGAAAGGACAAGUGGAACAAGAGGCCAACAAAUCUAUAAAAAGAAAAGAGGGGUGCCUGGUGAGGGAGCCCAGAGGGAGUGUUCUGUUGGAUUCUGCUGACACUGGGUGUGUGGGGGUCUGAGAGCCAGGAGAGACGGGGUCUGCAAAGUGCACUAGUGUCCCUGAUUCAAUGACAGUCUGUCCUGUACCAAAGGCAUCAAGGGCCCUACAACUUGCACAGAAAACCAAACAAAACCAAAGCCAAGAAAAAACAAGAAGAAAGAAUAAAGGUAGGAAAGGGAGGGAGGGAGGAGGAGGGAAGCACAGAACAACACCCUCCCUCAGACCCUUCUACCUUCUCUACUGCUCUUCAACCUCUCAGAACAGUGACCUCCUCACCCAGAGGGAGCCACACGUUUGAAUCCAAUUGCUGAUUGUUGGAAAUGAUCACACAAGAAUCUGGGAAUGGAAGGCUGGGAGGAGAGCACUCAGGGUGUGAUGAACAAAUACACAGAAUGAUGGGGCUCAUCGAGGAAUUUCCUAUGUUGGGUCCCUGUUAUCUGUAGAAUUACAGAAAUGGAAGAGUUUAUUCUGCUCAGGAUCUUCCUGUGCAUAGAAAAACUGAACUCCUGUUUAGCCAACCAUCUGUCUUUCUGGUAUAAAGGAAUUUAUCUUUGAAACUGCAGACCAGCUUCACAGGAGGGGACAGGAGGCUGUGUACUUGAGAGCGAGACUGCCUACAGACUAGGAGGAAGAGCAACACCUCGGCCACAGUGUCCAGGGACCUGAGCUUUCCAUGGAUAGUUUGCAUUUCCCCAUAGUGAACGGGAUAGGAGAAAUCAAAGUCAAGAUUGAAGCAUGGAGACAAAUGAAGGUGUCUGGGGAGGCUGUUCAUGAUGUCACAGGGUCUAGUGACCUGCUUCCUCUCUCAUAUUUCAAUUCCAUUUAAAAAGUAAGUUUUAUUUUAUCACUUUCCUGUAGAAACUUAUAAUCAUGUGCACAACGUGCUUCCUAUUUAUUUGAUUUUUAGGCAUAGUAUAAGGCCCCUGCAAUAAUGAAUGACAACAUGAAGAUUUUGUUGGGGUGAUAAUUUUAAUUGUUGCUACUCAUUUCACUAACUACUGUGACAAGACUCAUUUUUAAGGGGAGGUGAACAUAGUGCAAAUUGAAUGUUAGACACCAGGAAGGAAUGGAAGAAGUGGACAUUUAGAUAGUGGCUGAGUUUUCCAACUCUAGGGGUUGAAAUGUCAUAUCCAGGAAGGAUGGGGACAGAAGCCAAGAGAACGGAGGCAGGGUGGAGUGGAGCCAGUCUCCUUGCUGUCUGCAGGUGGACUGGGGUGGAACUUGGCCACAUCCAGAGGAAUAAGUGGGAUUCCAGAAUGAUAGCCCCUGAGGUGAUGCUUUGUGAAACAACAGACAUCAUUCACAUAGUGGAUACCUAGUGGUCGCCAUUACCAGCCCUGACCCAGGGGGGCUCAUUGACCCUCACAGCCUUAUAAGGUAGGUAUUAUUCAUCUGCCUAUCUUACAGAUGAGAAAAUGGAGGCAGGGAAAGGUUAGUCCCUGGUGUCUCAGGUCGCAUAUAUGGUAGGUGGUAGAGGCAGAUUUUGUUGGGUACUCAAGUCAUCCAUAGUUUUAACUACAUGUGGUCCUUAGACUUAAAAGCUCAGAUGUUUUCUUGCCUUAAGUGGUAGACUCUUCUAUUUCAAUUUCCUCAUCUGCAAAAUGAGGAUGGUAGAGCUUGAAUUCAUGUGGUAGUGAAAGGAUAGAAAUGAGCUACUUCGCUCCUUUAUGGGGAUUGUCAGGAAGCCUGACACAUGGCAAGUGCUAGACAGAUCACAGAUGUGUACCCAUGGGGGCUGAUGUAAGACAGCUUCUGGCAGGCUCUGCUUGUCGGGACGUCACGGUGACAACAGGUAGGCUCACGAAGGUACCUGGCAUGACGGGCCAGCCAUUUGCCUAAGUACAUCCAGCUACGUUCACCCAGCUCAAGGAAUGUUGGAGUACCUUGAUGGAGCUUUGGGUACUUGAGUAGAGUCUGUUCCAUGUUUCAAAGCUGGUUAUUGACCCUCUCUGUGCCUCAGUUUUCUCAUGUAUGAAUGGGAGAAAGGAAUUCAUGCUUCCCAGAGUUCUUGGAAAGAGAAAAAGAGAUAAUAUGUGUAAAACAGACAUAAAAGAAACUCAACUGUUCAUUAGCUUUGUCUUCCUUAUUGAGUUAUUGUUUAGGCUGAUGUCCAGAGGUGGAAUGGAUCUCACUGAGGCAGGGAGUGUCCAUAGUCCUGGGCUUCACAGGGCCAAGUCUGACUUGAAUGACCACAAUCUGGCUGAAUUAUAUGUGGAGGGAGAUGUCCUCGGAAAGGCUCUCUGUGGCCCUUUUAGUGGUCAUGAUGUGUGGGCUAUGACAACUAUCAAUGCUCAUUUAGAGGAAUGGGUAUUAAAAAAAAAACUCCAAAUGUCCUUUUCCUGAACCCACCACAUCCUGCAGUUGAGCAGUGGCACCGCACACUUGGUUUGCUCUCAACACCUGUUCUGGACACCCGGAGCCUUCUGUUAACUCUCUACUGCUCAAUGGAAAUCCUGAUAAUGGAGUCAUGAGAAAACACUCACAAGGCUUCUUUCCCAUCUGGUGACCCCAGAGCUAAACACCAUAGGAAUUAGAAUCCCUAAUUUGCGUGAAGAAGAAUGACUAGAGGACCCAUCCUCUUGGGCUCCAGUGGCCUCAGGCGACUCUCAAUGGAAGACAACCCGGGGCCCACUCCUCCUGAAAUGGGGGUUGUGCAAACUCACAUCCACAGGUCCUCAUUCCAUGAGCACCUUCUGAUUCAAAGUCCAUCAAUUAAAACAAAUCCCUUCAUUUUAGACAGAAGUGCCAUAAUACAGGCACCAUCCAGGGGGCUUGUAUUCUGACAUUACAAGAAGCUGUGAAAUUACACAGCAAUAAAUAAUAAAGUCCUAGGCUUAGAAUCUCUAAUCAUCAUUCCCAAAUUGAUUUUAAAAAUAAUGAGGGGUAUUGUUUAUAGAAUGAUUAGGGAAAACUUAAAAUUCAUUAAAUGUCUCUCUAAGUCUUUUAUUUUCUUCAAUGGAAUUUUCAAGUACUUGGAUAUGUUCUCUGUUAUCAAAACAUGUAGAUGGAAGGAAUAUAUUUAAGCUAAAUACAUUGCUUUGUCCUGCAUCCUCGUGGGCACUUCACAGCAUCCAUGGCUCAUGUCCUCGUGUAGUUAUGAACCUUAGUGUGGGUAGCUGACAAAAGCCAGUUGUCCUACCGUUUUCAUCUACUGAAAUUCAGAAUCAACAUCACUAACAUUUAUUUUGUGCAUGGAGGUUCAACUCUAGUAUUUUGAGUCCCCGGAUGAUCUGAGAAAUUUAGUGGACAGAAGAUGUAUCAAUUGUUAAUUUCUUGAAUGACAACCCUGUCUCUAAACACUUUGCCUCUUUCUGUCUUUAAAGAGCAUCCAGCUGAUAUUUCUUCCAUUAAACAAGAAGAGUAUAUGCAGGAUUAUUAACCUUAGUUACUUACAUAUAACUUUAUGGACAAUAAUAAGGCAAAACUACCAGUGAUAUGGUACCCCUUGUGUCCCAGAGGAUUGGAUUAUAUUUUCCUUUUUUGGUACUGGGAAUUGAACCUAGGGGGUGUUUAACCCCUGAGCCACAUCCCCAGCACUUUUUUUUUUUAUUGUGAGACAGGGACUCUCUGAGUUGCUUAGGGCCUCCCUAAAUUGUUGAGGCUGGCUUUGAAUUCCAAAUCCUCUUGCCUCAACCUCCUGAGCUGCUGGGAUUAGAGGCAUGCACCACCACGCCCAGCAGCAGACUGUUUUUAAAUCAGUGGGUUGGAGUCACCGUAACAAUAGUACCCCAUGGCCCAUGGAGUCCAUGGCUGGAGGUCCAUAUUCCCCCUGUCUGUUUCCACCUGUUGGAUUGAUUAUUGAAAAGUAGUUUGGCCUCAAAUCUGUGCCUUCUGUAUUUGUUAGUGAAAAUUGGCAAGUUAACCGAGUAUUAGGUACACCCAUGAAAUGCAAGAUCAAAAAGAAAUGCUGAGAUGUGCUGUUUCUAUGAAGUUAAUUAAAUGCUUUGGAAAGAAUAAAAGAAUGAGUAACAAAAACACGUGGUUGAACCAGAUGAAAGUGAGGCAGCUGCAGAUGACUGAGAGACUGAAACACAUUGGAUAGAUUAUUAAGUGUCUUUAGAGAUCAUUUAAGCUCUUGACCUGUUUGUUUUUUUUUAACUUGUUCUAAUUAGUUAUACAUGACAGCAGAAUGCAUUUCGAUUCACUGUACACAAAUGGAGCACAACUUUUCAUUUAUCUGGUUGCAUGCAAUGUAGAAUCACACCAUUCAUGCAAGCAUACAUGGUGUACCAGCAGGGAUUUUGGCAGGCAGGGUGUGGAUUCAGGAAGGAGGAGGACCUGUAUGGGCUGAGCUCACAGGAAAGGCCUGGUCUUUCAUGAAAGGAUUGGAACAACUCACAUGUUUUAAAACUUAGACAAGUAGAGAAAAAAUUUUUUUAAAAAAAACACAGUUUGGGGUUUAUAGCAUGAUCAAGCAGUAAUUAACAUAUCUCAGGUACCUUCCCACCCCCUCUCUGGUCUCCCUGACUAUCCACACCCCCACCUCCGCCCCUGAGUGGCACUUUUAUUACCAUGAAUGAACCCACAUCCCUGACACAUCCUGAUCACCCAGAGCCCAGAGUUUGCAUUGGAGUUCAGCGUUUACUUGUUACUUGUCGGGGAACCUAAUCUACCUUGAACAUUCUGGACAUGAAGAUUGAAAUUUUUCUUAGCCAAUUUUAAAACUUAACCAACCUCUUACUAAUACCACUUCUAUUAAGUAAAAGCUUUGCAAGGUAAAAAAUGAAGCAAUUUCCCUUAAAAAGGAAUAGUAAAGUGCUGAGGCUCAGGAUGAAAUUGCUUUUCACAUGAAUUUCUGGAUGGGAGAAACCGAGAGCAUUGGAGGCCACAGUUGGAAUGACCAUUCUCUGCCCUCUGAGUUGCCGUGUGCAGCUCGGCCAAGCAGACCCGGCAGAUGGAGGUGGUUAUGACAACCAUGAUGGGGUAGCCCGUAGGGUUGGCUCUUGCCAGCUUUAAGUGGGUUGUAAGGAACUCCUGCACAAUUACUGACAUAUCUACAUGGAACCUUCCACCUGUCAGACUCCAGGGGAAUCGAGCUCACCCAGAGCUGAUCCCUUUCUGCAAAGGUUUCCAUGCACACUGUGCUGUGCUCCUCUGGAGCUCAGGAAGGGAACAAGAAUCAGAACAGUUCCUCACUUGUCACCUGCUGGUCCCCUUGGGAAGAAUAUAGCCACAGGCAGCCUCUAGUUGUGUUUUGUGUUUCUUAGUUUAACCUAAUGCAACUAUGGGAUCAUUUUCUUUAGGUUGGCGAACUAUUUAAGUAUAUAAACACUCCCCCCUCCCCAUUCUGUUUUCAGACCUUAUUUAAAGACUGAAGUCUGUUCAUUACUCCAUCAGAUAAAUUUUACUGCAGGAUUUUGGGGGUGAAAAAACUGUGAAUCAGAUUAACGAACAGGACUGAACAAGUAGCUAGCUCACGAAGGCUGACUGUUAAUAAAUAGUAAAUAUAUUGGUGGAGGGGAAAUACUUCUUUAAAUAAGAAGUAAAUAAGAUAAUAAGAAGUAGAUUAACAGCAUAGUACAGUGAUGCAGUCACAUCACUGUUUAUAGCAGCUCAAUUCACAAUAGAUAAGCUCUGGAACUAACCUAGGUGCACUUCAACAGAUGAAUGGAUGAAGAAAACGUGGUACAUAUACACAAUGGAAUAUUACUCAGCCAUAAAUAAGAAUGAAAUUAUGGCAUUUGCCAGUAAAUGGAAAGAACUGGAGAAUAUUAUACUGAGAGAAAUAAGCCAACCCCUAAAAACCAAAGGCCAAAUGUUCUCUCUGAUAAUAUGGAUGCUGACUCACAACAAGGGAGGGGCAGGAGAGGAAGAACAGAAGUUCAUUGGAUUAGACAAAGGGGAAUGAAGGGAAGGGAGAGGGAUGGGAAAGGGAAAGACCAUAGAAUGAGUGGGACACAACAUUCCUAUGUUCAUAUAUGAAUACAUGACCAGUGAAACUCCACAGGAUGUACGACCACAAGAAUGGGAAGUUAUAUGGCAUGUAUGUAUGAUGUGUUGAUUAUACUCUACUGUCAUGCAUAUUAAAAAGAACAAAUAAAAUUGGUUGUUUUAUGAAAUAAAAAGUAGAUAAAGUUUUCCCAAGUUACUGUUUUUGUACAGGUGUAUUUUUAGUCCUCCUAGGAACGCCCUGCAUAUGGCUCACUGGCUGUGUGUAACUAGACUGCCAUUCUACCUCUCUGGGCUGAAGUUCCCUCCCUGUGUAAGGGGAACCUGACAGUACAGGUAGUGUUGCUUGUUGCAAAGAUUAAAUCCGGGAAAAUAUGUGAUGAAGUUAAAACAGACCCUGGCUCACAGUAAGAAUCUAGCACAAGCACUGGUUUCUCAGCUUUCCCUGAAGGUAGAAGAUAAGCCCUGAUAUUUGGCCAGUGUCUUGCUCUACACCAGACUUUUCACAAAGUAAAGGACAUGGGGGAACACCUUCCUGCAUUUUCAACACCAUGUAUACGAUAUAGUUAUUUUGAGUAGCUUUGUGUGACAUUUCUGCUACAAACGGUUAAAGGACUCCAGCAACUUAGGCCAAAUUGCAGCUCAAAGAGUUUUCCACUGAGAAGGAAGCAGGAUCAAGAACAUCUGGACACUUGGACGCGUCCAGCCGUCACCCAGCUCCUGGGCCUGUGUGUGCUCCCCUCUCAGCCUGCUGGCCUUGCUCAGGCCUCCUUUGGAUAUGACUUGUCUCCUAACAGUGAAUUUGACAGUGCAGCAUGUGUAUUUUCUCUUUGUUGUCAUGUGCAAUGUUUAUCACAAAGCUACUGAUUGUGGUGACUUUGUUUAAUAAUAUGGAUGUUUCUGAAACAUAAAUCAGCUUCAUAUUGACACACAGAAACGCCUGAAGUGGUUUAGUAUUUACUGUGUUUUAUUGCUUUCAAGUUGCACUCUUAAUUAUUCUGUAGACAGUAACAACAAGGCUUUACCACUCAUGGAUCAAAAUGAGAAGUGAAAAUUCCAGCUAAGAAUGUGUAUAGCAAGCAAGCACAUAAAACCUAAACUCCUACAAAAACAAGAAAUAAAAAACCCCCCUUCAAAUACCCCAAAACAAAACAACCAAUUUACCAAAUAAAAAACAGAGUCAAGGGGGAAAGGAAGGACAGCAGAAUAAAAUAGACAUUUUUAUUGCUGUAUGUAUAUACGUGACUGCAUGACCAAUGUGAUUCUGCAACCUGUACACUCAGAAAAAUGAGAAAUUAUACCCCAUCUGAUUCAAAUGUAUGAUAUGUCAAGAUCAUUGUACGGUCAUGUGUAACUAAUUAAAUAAAACAGAGUCAAGUCUUUAUGUUGAAAUUUUUCAGAAAAGCAUAUCAGUAUAUAUACUGGCCAGUCUUUACAUUGACAUUUUUUGAAAAUAUAUCCAUGUACUCAAAAUGUAAGCUGACUUGCUUAGAUUUGUGAACAGUUUCUUCACCUACUUCUCAACGAAUACUGGAAUUUAAAUCACUCUGAAAUAAAAACAGUCCACAAUUUGUAAGAAUGUAAUCUAAGCUGAAAAAUUGUCCACUUUUGUGAUUUUUUUUUGUUAUCAUUAAAAUUAAAGUUGGUUGGAUUCUAGAGCUGC
rnacentral:lncRNA from 1 species